GGGCCCAUAGCUCCAACGGUAGAGCAACACCCUUGCAAGGUGAAGGUUGUCGGUUCGAAUCCGACUGGGUCCAC
rnacentral:tRNA from 1 species